UGGGGAAUAUUGGACAAUGGGGGCAACCCUGAUCCAGCGACGCCGCGUGGGUGAAGAAGGCCUGCGGGUUGUAAAGCCCUUUCGGUGGGGAAGAAAAGUUGUGACCUAACACGUUGCGACCUUGACGUAACCCACUAAAGAAGCACCGGCUAACUCUGUGCCAGCAGCCGCGGUAAUACAGAGGGUGCGAGCGUUAAUCGGAAUUACUGGGCGUAAAGCGCGCGUAGGCGGCUUUUCAAGUCGAUUGUGAAAUCCCCGGGCUUAACCUGGGAACUGCAGUCGAGACUGUCUAGCUAGAGUAUGGGAGAGGGAAGGGGAAUUUCAGGUGUAGCGGUGAAAUGCGUAGAUAUCUGAAGGAACAUCAGUGGCGAAAGCGACUUCCUGGACCAAUACUGACGCUCAUGGGCGAAAGCGUGGGGAGCAAA
rnacentral:rRNA from 1 species